rnacentral:rRNA from 1 species
GACAGAGGAUGCAAGCGUUAUCCGGAAUGAUUGGGCGUAAAGCGUCUGUAGGUGGCUUUUCAAGUCCGCCGUCAAAUCCCAGGGCUCAACCCUGGACAGGCGGUGGAAACUACCAAGCUGGAGUACGGUAGGGGCAGAGGGAAUUUCCGGUGGAGCGGUGAAAUGCAUUGAGAUCGGAAAGAACACCAACGGCGAAAGCACUCGUAGCUGGGCCGACACUGACACUGAGAGACGAAAGCUAGGGGAGCAAAACGGG